GAAAUGCGAUAAGUAAUGUGAAUUGCAGAAUUCAGUGAAUCAUCGAAUUUUUGAACGCAUCUUGCGCUCCUUGGUAUUCCGAGGAGCAUGCCUGUUUGAGUGUCAUGGAAAUUCUCAACUCCUUUAAUUUUAUUUUACAAAUUGAAGGAGCUUGGACUUGGAGGUUGUGCUGGCUUUAUUUAGUAAAGUACGGCUCCUCUUAAAUAUAUUAGUACGGAACUUAUGGAUCGCUCUAUUGGUGUGAUAAUUGUCUACGCCAUAAGUGUGAAGUAUAUUAUAGUUCGUGCUUCUAAUCGUUCUGUAUGGAACAAUAUACCUAAUAUCUGACCUCAAAUCAGGUAGGACUACCCGCUGAACUUAA
rnacentral:misc_RNA from 1 species